rnacentral:hammerhead_ribozyme from 1 species
AUCCAGCUGAUGAGUCCCAAAUAGGACGAAACACUCUUCAAACUGGAU